GAGCCAGCCGCAACACCCUACGGUCCUACUCCCCAAGAGGCCAUCCCCAAGGGAGCUCAUGUUGUGGGGCCCUGAGCAAGCCCGUUCGCUGGCACCUAACGUUUCCGGCCUCCCGCCCGCCUUCGUGCGCGGCGGGAGGCAUGGUUCU
rnacentral:sRNA from 1 species